rnacentral:lncRNA from 1 species
GGCUGCCGAAGAUGGCGGAGGGGCAGGUUCUAGUAUUGGAUGGCCGGGGCCAUCUUCUGGGCCGCCUGGCGGCCAUUGUGGCCAAGCAGGUACUGCUGGGCCGAAAGGUGGUGGUUGUACGCUGUGAGGGCAUCAACAUUUCUGGAAAUUUCUACAGAAACAAGUUAAAGUAUCUGGCCUUUCUCCGAAAGCGGAUGAACACCAACCCGUCUCGAGGCCCCUACCACUUCCGAGCCCCAAGCCGCAUUUUUUGGCGCACUGUGCGAGGCAUGCUGCCGCACAAGACCAAAAGAGGCCAGGCUGCCCUGGAACGCCUCAAGGUGUUGGAUGGGAUCCCUCCACCCUAUGACAAGAAAAAGCGGAUGGUGGUCCCUGCUGCCCUCAAGGUUGUGCGGCUGAAGCCUACCAGAAAGGUAAGCUCUAGGCUACAGAAUAAACUUGUGGGACCUCAAGACUGGCAGAUGAUGGUAUAUUCUCACGAUGGUCUUCGGAUGCCACAGUGCCGAUAAUGCCAAAGGCUGAGCUGAUGCCAGGAGAGCGUCCAUGUUGGGAUGAGUCCUUGAAGUAGGGUCCUUAGGCCCUCCAGCUCACUCUGCUGCUGGGGCACAUUCCAUGUCCUUACAGCCUUGUGCCCCUGCAGUUUGCUUACCUGGGGCGUCUGGCUCAUGAGGUCGGGUGGAAGUACCAGGCAGUGACAGCUACUCUGGAGGAGAAACGGAAGGAAAAGGCAAAGAUCCAUUACCGGAAGAAGAAGCAGCUCUUGGUGAGGAUAGAACCUGCACUCCAGGGUUAGGGUGGCCCUGGGACAAAAGCAACAAAUCUCUGACACUUGUCUUUUCAAACCACAGAGGCUAAGGAAACAGGCAGAAAAGAAUGUGGAGAAGAAAAUCUGCAAGUUCACAGAGGUCCUCAAGACCAAUGGACUCUUGGUGUGAACCCAAUAAAGACUGUUUGUGCCUC